UGGGACAUCUUGAGUACUCUGACCAAUUUGGGGCCCUCGAUUUCAAAGGACAACGGCAACGGAGCCUCUUCCGGGCCACCUUCCAAAAGAUCACCAGAAGAUGAGGAGUGUUUAGCUCAGAAAAGAGGAGCCCAAAAGGAUGAGAACCCAUCGACCUCUUUUAGCUUACAGUUAACAAAGCCUCAGUCAUGGGAUGUCUGUUAAAGGAGCUCUUCUCCAUUCCUAACUUUUGAGAUUGACUUUAAAAUAUGUAUAUAUUUAUUUUAUGAAAAAAAUUAGUGCAAUUCAUAGGAAGCUGCAGUAAAGAAUGAGGUACCUACAAAAGCUUGAAAAUAAGAUAACAGGAUGUAACAAGAGAUUUUUGGCUGGGCAAGGCCUUGGACUUAGCCUUUGUCGGCUAGAGGGGAAAGAUGUGACCACCUCCCAUAAAAAUAUCCAUUUCCUUCUGAGUAAAGAAGCAUCGUGGAAGAAAAGACCUAGGUAUUCUAAUCUCCUCCUAGUGCGUCUGAAAGAGGCCUGAGGAACUGCUGUGGCCCUCAUUGAAAGAAUGGUCAAAGACAUGGAAGAAUGAUAGAAGAAACGAAUGGGGGUCCUUAAGAGCAAAGUCACAAUAAAAGUGAGGGGCCAUUGAGCUGAUGAUCCAACACA